rnacentral:rRNA from 1 species
GACGAACGCUGGCGGCGUGCCUAAUACAUGCAAGUUGAGCGAUGAAGAUUGGUGCUUGCACCAACUUGAAGAGCAGCGAACGGGUGAGUAACGCGUGGGGAAUCUGCCUUCGAGCGGGGGACAACAUUUGGAAACGAUUUCUAAUACCCCAUAACAACUUUAAUCUUAAUUUUUAAGCUUGAAAGUUGCAAUUUCAUCACUCAAAGAUGAUCCCGCGUUGUAUUAGCUAGUUGGUGGGGUAAAGGCGCACCAAGCCCAUGAUCCAUAGCCGACCUGAGAGGGUGAGCGGCCAAGUUGGUACUGGGACACGGACAACACUACUACGAGAGACAGCAGUAGGGAAUCUUCGGAGAUGGCAGAAGGGCUGACCGUUAAACGCCGCGCGAGUGAAGAAGGUUGUCGGGUCGUAAGACUCUGUAGGUAGAGAGGAUCGUUGAUGAGUGUGGCAAGCUAAUAAAGUGACGGUAACUGCACAAAAAGGUCCGGCUAACUACGUG